UACAGAGGUCUCAAGCGUUGUUCGGAUUCAUUGGGCGUAAAGGGUGCGUAGGUGGCGGGGCCAGUCAGGUGUGAAAUCCCGGGGCUUAACCCUGGAACUGCAUUUGAUACUGCCUUGCUAGAGAACUGGAGAGGAGACUGGAAUUUACGGUGUAGCAGUGAAAUGCGUAGAGAUCGUAAGGAAGACCAGUGGCGAAGGCGAGUCUCUGGACAGUUACUGACACUGAGGCACGAAGGCCAGGGGAGCAAACGGG
rnacentral:rRNA from 1 species